rnacentral:rRNA from 1 species
GGAGUGAACCGGUAGGAUGGAAACGGAUAAAGCCAACGGACAAACUCGUAUUCAGCUAGUCGGUGGCGUCCGACAUUCGCGGGUACCCGAUAGGGUACACGCUAGUGUGCGUGGUAUGCAACUGGCUAGUGCAUUUACGGGCGAUGUGCGCCGAGGCGUGUGAUCKUGCACGUUACGAACUGCCCGGAGAGGCCUCGCUUCGGCGUGGUACCUACGUGGCCGGUGAGUGGUGUCAUGGUUGCACGUAGAUUGUAUGGGCUAGGUGGAAAACGCGCUGCCGUAUCGACGGUCUGCCGCCCGCGCGAGUCGCAUGCGACRAGUUUGGGUGAGCGGGCAUUAAUGAUAUGCGGUAGUGACCUGGCCUACCCUCGGUGUAAAAGUUGGUCAUUUCUCCGACCCGUCUUGAAACACGGACCAAGGAGUCUAGCGUGUACGCGAGUCAUUGGGCGUCAAAAACCCAUAGGCGUAAUGAAAGUGAAUGUCUCCCUCGAAGGAGCCUUAUAUGCGAUCCAUUGCGCUACGGCGUAGCGGAGCARCAUAGCCCCAUCUCGACUGCUUGCAGUGGGGUGGAGGUAGAGCGUAUGCGCUGGUACCCGAAAGAUGGUGAACUAUGCCUGAGCAGGAUGAAGCCAGAGGAAACUCUGGUGGAAGUCCGAAGCGCUUCUGACGUGCAA